rnacentral:rRNA from 1 species
CCUACGGGAGGCAGCAGUGAGGAAUAUUGGUCAAUGGACGAGAGUCUGAACCAGCCAAGUAGCGUGAAGGAUGACUGCCCUCUGGGUUGUAAACUCCUUUUAUAUGGGAAUAAAAUGUUCCACGUGUGGGAUUUUGUAUGUACCAUAUGAAUAAGGAUCGGCUAACUCCGUGCCAGGAGCCGAGGUAAUACGGAGGAUCCGAGCGUUAUCCGGAUUUAUUGGGGUUAAAGGGAGCGUAGGUGGAUUUUUAAGUCAGUUGUGAAAGUUUGCGGCUCAACCGUAAAAUUGAAGUUGAAACUGGCAGUCUUGAGUACAGUAGAGGUAGGCGGAAUUCGUGGUGUAGCGGUGAAAUGCUUAGAUAUCACGAAGAACACCGAUUGCGAAGGCAGCUCACUGGACUGCAACUGACACUGAGGCUCGAAAGUGUGGGUAGCAAACAGGAUUAGAUACCCUUGUAGUC